CGCCCAUAGCAAACAUUAUGGGUCCAACCUGCCCAGUGAAUUUUUUAACGGCCGCAGUACCCUGACUGUGCGAAGGUAGCAUAAUAAUUUGUCUUAUAAUUAAAGACUAGAAUGAACGGUUAAAUGUAAAUAAAACUGUCUCUUAUGCAAAACUAAAAAUUAAUUUAUUGGUUCAAAAGCCAAUAUCUAAUAAAUAGACGAGAAGACCCUGUUGAGCUUAAUUUUCAACUAUACUAAACCAAUUUUCUUAUACAAAUAAAAUUUUGUUGGGGCGACAAAGGAACUAAUCAAACUUCCUUUAAAACUUUAUAUCAAAAUUAAAUUGAUCCGUUAAUAACGACCAAAUAAUAAGUUACCACAGGGAUAACAGCAUAAUUCUUUUUAAGAGCCCAAAUCGAAAAAAGAGUUUGUGACCUCGAUGUUGGACUAAGGAAACCAAAAAGCGCAACCGUUUUUUCAAGUAGUCUGUUCGACUAAUAAUCCCUU
rnacentral:rRNA from 1 species